GAUCAUGGCUCAGGACGAACGCUGGCGGCGCGCCUAACACAUGCAAGUCGAACGAGAGAGAAGGAGCUUGCUUCUUCGAUCGAGUGGCGAAUGGGUGAGUAACGCGUGAGGAACCUGCCUCAAAGAGGGGGACAACAGUUGGAAACGACUGCUAAUACCGCAUAAGCCCACGGGUCGGCAUCGAUCUGAGGGAAAAGGAGCAAUCCGCUUUGAGAUGGCCUCGCGUCCGAUUAG
rnacentral:rRNA from 1 species